rnacentral:rRNA from 1 species
GGUGAGUAAUGCCUAGUAGUUGUUGUGAUGUGGGGAAACCUGUUGAAAAAUAUGGCUAAUAGGCAUGAUGCCUACGGGCCAAAGAGGGGGACCUUCGGCCCUCUCGCGUCAUGAUAUGCCUAUGUGGGUUUAGCUAGUUGGUGAGGUAAUGGCUCAAAGGGCAACAAUCCCUCGCUGGUCUGAUAGUAUUAUCAGCCACACUGUCACUGACACACGGCCCAGAUUCCUAGGGGGGGCCGGAGUGGGGAAUAUUGCAAAAUGGGCAAUCCCCUGAUACCGCCAUGGUGCGUUUAUAGAAGGAGGCUUUCGGUUUGUAGAAUUUUUU